rnacentral:rRNA from 1 species
UAUCCAGGCAAAUCCGGAUAAUCAAGGCUGAGGUGUGAUGACGAGGCACUACGGUGCUGAAGUAACAAAUGCCCUGCUUCCAGGAAAAGCCUCUAAGCAUCAGGUAACAUCAAAUCGUACCCCAAACCGACACAGGUGGUCAGGUAGAGAAUACCAAGGCGCUUGAGAGAACUCGGGUGAAGGAACUAGGCAAAAUGGUGCCGUAACUUCGGGAGAAGGCACGCUGGUGUGUAGGUGAAGUCCCUGCGGAUGGAGCUGAGACCAGUCGAAGAUACCAGCUGGCUGCAACUGUUUAUUAAAAACACAGCACUGUGCAAACACGAAAGUGGACGUAUACGGUGUGACGCCUGCCCGGUGCCGGAAGGUUAAUUGAUGGGGUUAUCCGUAAGGAGAAGCUCUUGAUCGAAGCCCCGGUAAACGGCGGCCGUAACUAUAACGGUCCUAAGGUAGCGAAAUUCCUUGUCGGGUAAGUUCCGACCUGCACGAAUGGCGUAAUGAUGGCCAGGCUGUCUCCACCCGAGACUCAGUGAAAUUGAACUCGCUGUGAAGAUGCAGUGUACCCGCGGCAAGACGGAAAGACCCCGUGAACCUUUACUAUAGCUUGACACUGAACAUUGAGCCUUGAUGUGUAGGAUAGGUGGGAGGCUUUGAAGCGUGGACGCCAGUCUGCGUGGAGCCAACCUUGAAAUACCACCCUUUAAUGUUUGAUGUUCUAACGUUGGCCCCUUACCGGGGUUGCGGACAGUGUCUGGUGGGUAGUUUGACUGGGGCGGUCUCCUCCCAAAGCGUAACGGAGGAGCACGAAGGUUAGCUAAUCCUGGUCGGACAUCAGGAGGUUAGUGCAAUGGCAUAAGCUAGCUUGACUGCGAGCGUGACGGCGCGAGCAGGUGCGAAAGCAGGUCAUAGUGAUCCGGUGGUUCUGAAUGGAAGGGCCAUCGCUCAACGGAUAAAAGGUACUCCGGGGAUAACAGGCUGAUACCGCCCAAGAGUUCAUAUCGACGGCGGUGUUUGGCACCUCGAUGUCGGCUCAUCACAUCCUGGGGCUGAAGUAGGUCCCAAGGGUAUGGCUGUUCGCCAUUUAAAGUGGUACGCGAGCUGGGUUUAGAACGUCGUGAGACAGUUCGGUCCCUAUCUGCCGUGGGCGCUGGAGAAUUGAGGGGGGCUGCUCCUAGUACGAGAGGACCGGAGUGGACGCAUCACUGGUGUUCGGGUUGUCAUGCCAAUGGCACUGCCCGGUAGCUAAAUGCGGAAGAGAUAAGUGCUGAAAGCAUCUAAGCACGAAACUUGCCCCGAGAUGAGUUCUCCCUGAGACUUUAAGUCUCCUGAAGGAACGUU